rnacentral:rRNA from 1 species
UACGGAGGAUCCGAGCGUUAUCCGGAUUUAUUGGGUUUAAAGGGUGCGUAGGCGGCCUAUUAAGUCAGGGGUGAAAUACGGCAGCUCAACUGUCGCAGUGCCUUUGAUACUGAUAGGCUUGAAUUAGAUUGAAGAAGGCGGAAUGAGACAAGUAGCGGUGAAAUGCAUAGAUAUGUCUCAGAACUCCGAUUGCGAAGGCAGCUUUCUAAGUCUUUAUUGACGCUGAUGCACGAAAGCGUGGGGAUCGAAC